rnacentral:rRNA from 1 species
UAGAGUUUGAUCCUGGCUCAGAACGAACGCUGGCGGCAGGCUUAACACAUGCAAGUCGAGCGCCCCGCAAGGGGAGCGGCAGACGGGUGAGUAACGCGUGGGAACGUACCUUUUGCUACGGAAUAACUCAGGGAAACUUGUGCUAAUACCGUAUGUGCCCUUCGGGGGAAAGAUUUAUCGGCAAAGGAUCGGCCCGCGUUGGAUUAGCUAGUUGGUGAGGUAAAGGCUCACCAAGGCGACGAUCCAUAGCUGGUCUGAGAGGAUGAUCAGCCACACUGGGACUGAGACACGGCCCAGACUCCUACGGGAGGCAGCAGUGGGGAAUAUUGGACAAUGGGCGCAAGCCUGAUCCAGCCAUGCCGCGUGAGUGAUGAAGGCCCUAGGGUUGUAAAGCUCUUUCACCGGUGAAGAUAAUGACGGUAACCGGAGAAGAAGCCCCGGCUAACUUCGUGCCAGCAGCCGCGGUAAUACGAAGGGGGCUAGCGUUGUUCGGAUUUACUGGGCGUAAAGCGCACGUAGGCGGACUUUUAAGUCAGGGGUGAAAUCCCGGGGCUCAACCCCGGAACUGCCUUUGAUACUGGAAGUCUUGAGUAUGGUAGAGGUGAGUGGAAUUCCGAGUGUAGAGGUGAAAUUCNNAGAUAUUCGGAGGAACACCAGUGGCGAAGGCGGCUCACUGGACCAUUACUGACGCUGANGUGCGAAAGCGUGNGGAGCAAACAGGNAUUAGAUACCCUNNAGUCCACGCCNUAAACGAUGAAUGUUANCCGUUGGGGANUUUACUCUUCNGGUGNCGCANCUNACGCAUUAAACAUUCCGCCUGGGGGAGUACNGNCGCAAGAUUAAAACUCNANA